UCUCCUAUUAUUGCUUCAUAGGAUAGCCCUUAAAAAAAAGUUAUUAAAACCCCUAAAUUUUGGGCUGCAAAAACAAUGGGAAAUUGAAAAUAGGGAAUAUUUAUAAGAUCAAAGGGAAAAUCAAUACAUGGGGGAAAUCGAAAGAGGGGAAAUCUAAAAAAACCCAUAAAGCCCAAAUUCCCUCUCCACAAGCACCGAUUGGAACAUAAUCUCUGCGCCUUCUUCCUCAAUUCGAUGAACUGAUCAGUUGUGCUUCUUCUUCUUCUUCAAGAAUUUGGACUUGCGCUCUUUCACUCCUUCACUCACUGCAUUGGUCAUAGCUGUUGGAGAUGAGAUCCUGUUGUGGAAUCCAACUUUGUAUUUGAAGCCAAGUUCAUCCAAGUCAUUGAGUUUCAAGCUUCUUUAAGUAUAUUUGUGUUUCUUGAACUAGAAUUUGUUGAGUAUGUGUUACUUUAUGAUUUGGAGGGGGUUGUGGUAAAGGAAACAUUUAAAGAUGUUUUCAUUAGUUGUUGUGCUGCCUUUAGAAAUGUAUGAGUUGUAUAUUAUUAAAAAAGUUUAGGAAGUUGCAACUUAA